CACGUAGGCACCAAGCGUUGUCCGGAUUUAUUGGGCGUAAAGAGCUCGUAGGCGGUUCGGUAAGUCAGGUGUGAAAACUUUGGGCUUAACCCAAAGCGUGCAUCUGAUACUGCUGUGACUAGAGUUCGGUAGGGGAGUGGGGAAUUCCUAGUGUAGCGGUGAAAUGCGCAGAUAUUAGGAGGAACACCGGUGGCGAAGGCGCCACUCUGGGCCGAAACUGACGCUGAGGAGCGAAAGCGUGGGUAGCAAACAGG
rnacentral:rRNA from 1 species